ACCCGGUCCAAAUUGAACCGCCGAAGUCCAAUUCGUCCGAAUCCAAAUUCCAAAAUAUCUGCAGUUGACAUAUGAACACUGAAGUUUAUCUAUGGCUGCCUUACAACAAAUAAGGAGUAAAACUGCGUACUCUUCCCUCUUCACCCUUCACUGUAAAUCCACAACAAACAAAGAGCAAAAACUAUAACCUUAGUAAUAAUUAUAACAUGGCGUCCUCAAUUCCCUUCACUUCAACACCCCCUUCCAAUUUCCCUUGUUUCCACCAUAAAAAUUCAUUCCCUUGGUUUCCAGUCUCAGUCCCCUGCCAAAACCCCACCUACAGCUCUACAUCUUCACUGCUCCCUCUCUGCUUUGCUGCAAAGUCCCAGACGGGUGGACCUGUCAAGAAACGGUCGUCCUCAGCAGCUGGGAAUAAGAAGAGGAGGAAGGGAAAAAGCGGGCAUGGUGAUGAUAAUCUAAAGAAGCUGAGUUUGAGGGAUGUUGAGAUUGUGGAAGAAACUGCUUAUGAUAAUGAAGCGUUAGCUUUUUCUUCGACUACUACUUCGCGUUCUUUAAUAUAUCAUCCUCCAUCACUGCCCAAACCGCCUGCUGGGUUUGUGGUUGAUGACAAUGGCAGGGUUCUCAUGGCCUCAAACAAGAGAAUUGCCACUAUUGUUGAUUCUGCCAACAACAGCCCAUUAGAGUGUGUUAUAAGGAGGGUAUUCAAAAGUUCUCGGGGGGAUGAAUGUAUGCUGCUCUGCCCAGUUGACAUGCCUGUUGAGAUAUUAAAGAGUAUAAAUAUUGAUGGAUGGUCAGCUGUCAGUGAUGAAGAAGUUGAAGCUAUUCUUCCUACAGCUGCAUAUGCUCUUGCAAAAAUACAUAUGCAUCUAGUCCAUAGUGGAUUCUGUUAUACGGCUCGUGGAGGAUUUUGCUUCUCAGAAGAUAACAUCUUUGAUUUCCGCACAGAUGAUGGUCAAGAUAUAGAUGGCUUGCCAACCGAGGGCAUCGAAAUUACAUGCUUCCAUCUGGAUGGCGCGCAUUACAUGAUUUAUACACCGUCUGAUCCACUUCUAUUUGUUGCUGUCAAGGAUCAGAAUGGAAUGCUGCAAGUUGCUGAUGAUGAUCUGCUGGAGGAUCCUGCUAUCAUGAGUGCCAUUGAUGAGGAAACUGAAUUUAAUGCCUUGGUGGAAGAAGAAGCUGCUCUUCUUGAAUCAUUGUUAGGUGAAAGAUGACCAGGUUGCUCUCAUCAACUUUUUUAAGUUGCCCAAACUGCAUUUAUUUGGAAGUGGCCCAUGAAUUGUUUAUUUCAUCAGGUCUAAUUACAAUGUUGGAAUCCUCCACUAGAAUCAAAUUUAUAUGCCUAAUUUCUUUAACAUAUGGCUCAAUUGAAGCACUAGCCCAUAUCAAUAUAAAAAUUAAUUCUAAUGCUGCAUUUGAAUGCAAUUGAACUCUUACUGGGGCAGGUUGUCAUCUUUUUCUGUGCCUUCAGAUUCAAAUAUUCCUGUGAAGGCUCUCUUUUUCUUUUUUUUUUUCUUCUUUUUCUCAUUCUUUUUUCUGAACUUUUAACUGAAGCCCCAAAAUCUCUUAAACAGUUAAAUUGUUUUUUGAUUUUUUAUUAUUAUUAAGUAAUAGCUAUUAUACAUAAUCAUAAUCCUAGGCCAAGUAAACAUAGUCUUAUUUAUUUAUUUAAAGUAAACAUAA